UACGGAGGGGGCGAGCGUUAUUCGGAAUUAUUGGGCGUAAAGGGUGCGUAGGCGGCGGGUCAAGUCAGGUGUGAAAUCCCGGAGCUUAACUCCGGAACUGCACUUGAUACUGCCUUGCUCGAGGACUGGAGAGGAGAUCGGAAUUCACGGUGUAGCAGUGAAAUGCGUAGAUAUCGUGAGGAAGGCCAGUGGCGAAGGCGGAUCUCUGGACAGUUCCUGACGCUGAGGCACGAAGGCCAGGGGAGCAAACGGG
rnacentral:rRNA from 1 species